CAAUAGCGUAUAUUAAAGUUGUUGCGGUAAAAAAGCUCGUAGUUGGAUUUCUGUUGAGAGCGACUGGUCCAUACCAUGUAUGCGUAUCUGGCUUGCUCUCGGCAUCCUCUCGAUAGACGUUACUGCGCUUGAUUGCGUGGUGCGGAUCUCGGGACUUUUACUUUGAGGAAAUUAGAGUGUUCACGGCAGGCUUUCGCCAGAAUACAUUAGCAUGGAAUAAUACUAUAGGAUCUUGGUUCUAUUUUGUUGGUUUCUAGAAUUGAGAUAAUGAUUAAUAGGGACAAUUGGGGGCAUUCGUAUCAACACGUCAGAGGUGGAAUUCUUGGAUUGUGUUGCGACGAACUACUGCGAAAGCAUUUGCCAAGGAUGUUUCCAUUGA
rnacentral:rRNA from 1 species